CCCCUCACAACCACUCAAUUUACCAUUGCCACCAUAAACACAUCCUCACCACACCCUUAGCAACCAAAAAAUUCACCCCAACAACAACACAAAAAAUACAAAAUGAAAAAAAAACUCCAGAGGAAAACCAAGUGGAAGCCUGCAACGGAGAAAAAUGAAACAAAAUCAAAGAAAGAAGAAACAAAAUAUAAAUAAAUAAAAGAAAUAAGAGGAACAUUAAGGUUAGUUUUAAGGUCUUGGGUCGUCAUAUCAAAAAUCUAAAUGGUAGGAAUGUAGAAGAGAUCGCAAAAAACAACAUACCUUGGAAUCAGACUAAUUCGAUGGUUGGAUUUCGAGAUCGGGCAAGGAGAAGUUCAAACGUUCAAGCAUAGAUUCGAGUAGUUUGGGGAAAUUUUUGGAGAAUCAGACUCUGGAUUCAUGUUCAAAGUGUCAAAAAGAGACUAGAUAAGAGUUUGGAGUUUUCCGACCACCACUGGCAAGCCGGCGCGACAGUCCGACGUCGAUUUUUGGGUUUUUUUUAUUGUUGUGUCUGGGUUGCUUCAGAAUGGAAAAAAAAUUGAAGGUACAAAGAAGGGAGAAGAGAACAUUAAAGAAAAAAAAGAAGAAGUUUU
rnacentral:lncRNA from 1 species